UGUAGUCAUAUGCUUGUCUCAAAGAUUAAGCCAUGCAUGUCUAAGUAUAAGCGAUUAUACGGCGAAACUGCGAAUGGCUCAUUAUAUAAGUUAUCGUUUAUUUGAUAGCACCUUACUACUUGGAUAACCGUGGUAAUUCUAGAGCUAAUACAUGCUGCGAUCCCCGACUUCGGAAGGGGUGUAUUUAUUAGAUUAAAAACCAAUGCCCCCUGGGCUCUCUGGUGAUUCAUGAUAACUUGGCGAAUCGCACGGCCUUGCGCCGGCGAUGGUUCAUUCAAAUUUCUUCCCUAUCAACUUUCGAUGUUUGGGUAGUGGCCAAACAUGGUUGCAACGGGUAACGGAGGGUUAGGGCUCGACCCCGGAGAAGGAGCCUGAGAAACGGCUACUACAUCCAAGGAAGGCAGCAGGCGCGCAAAUUACCCAAUCCCGACACGGGGAGGUAGUGACAAUAAAUACUGAUACAGGGCUCUUUCGGGUCUUGUAAUUGGAAUGAGUACAAUUUAAAUCCCUUAACGAGGAACAAUUGGAGGGCAAGUCUGGUGAGCACGCUGGCGCCAGAGAGAGCCUCGCCCCCCGUGGUGGGGGGCCAGAGGCUAGUCGAGCGCUCGUUACUGUGACGGGUGAGCGCCGGCGAGACAACCUGGAUCGGGGAAGGCUAAGGGCCCUGGAGGCCUACGCUGAUCCCGAGCAGAGCCGCCCGGGCGGCCUGUGUAGAGCGCGCAAAGGUGUCGGUCCCUGGGCCUGCGGGCCCCGGGGCUUAAGGUACGUGCCAACCCCCCGCGAAAGCGGGGCCCUGCGGACGAGCACCCGUCGUGCGAAGCCGCGGGGGGGGGGGGGACAGAUCCGCUGACGGGCCGCGAGCGAGCCCGUCCGCGGGGCACGUCCGCCCACGCAAGCAGGCCAGCAGCCGCGGUAAUUCCAGCUCCAAUAGCGUAUAUUAAAGUUGUUGUGGUUAAAAAGCUCGUAGUUGAACCUUGGGCCUGGCUGGCCGGUCCGCCUCACCGCGUGCACUGGUCCGGCCGGGCCUUUCCCUCUGUGGAACCCCAUGCCCUUCGCUGGGCGUGGCGGGGAGACAGGACUUUUACUUUGAAAAAAUUAGAGUGCUCCAGGCAGGCCUAUGCUCGAAUACAUUAGCAUGGAAUAAUGAAAUAGGACGCGCGGUUCUAUUUUGUUGGUCUCUAGGACCGCCGUAAUGAUUAAUAGGGACAGUCGGGGGCAUCAGUAUUCAAUUGUCAGAGGUGAAAUUCUUGGAUUUAUUGAAGACUCACUACUGCGAAAGCAUUUGCCAAGGAUGUUUUCAUUAAUCAGGAACGAAAGUUAGGGGAUCGAAGACGAUCAGAUACCGUCGUAGUCUUAACCAUAAACUAUGCCGACUAGGGAUUGGACGAUGUUGAUUUUUGACUCGUCCAGCACCUUACGAGAAAUCAAAGUGCUUGGGCUCCAGGGGGAGUAUGGUCGCAAGGCUGAAACUUAAAGAAAUUGACGGAAGGGCACCACCAGGGGUGGAGCCUGCGGCUUAAUUUGACUCAACACGGGGAAACUCACCAGGUCCAGACACAAUGAGGAUUGACAGAUUGAGAGCUCUUUCUUGAUUUUGUGGGUGGUGGUGCAUGGCCGUUCUUAGUUGGUGGAGUGAUUUGUCUGCUUAAUUGCGAUAACGAACGAGACCUUAACCUGCUAAAUAGCCCGUGCCGCUCCGGCAGCACGCUGGCUUCUUAGAGGGACUAUCGGCUCAAGCCGAUGGAAGUUUGAGGCAAUAACAGGUCUGUGAUGCCCUUAGAUGUUCUGGGCCGCACGCGCGCUACACUGACGGAGCCAGCGAGUGCUCCCUUGGCCGGAAGGCCCGGGUAAUCUUGUUAAACUCCGUCGUGCUGGGGAUAGAGCAUUGCAAUUAUUGCUCUUCAACGAGGAAUCCCUAGUAAGCGCAAGUCACCAGCUUGCGUUGACUACGUCCCUGCCCUUUGUACACACCGCCCGUCGCUACUACCGAUUGAAUGGCUCAGUGAGGCGUCCGGACUGGCCUAGAGAGGUGGGAGACCACCACUCAGGGCCGGGAAGCUCUCCAAACUCGGUCAUUUAGAGGAAGUAAAAGUCGUAACAAGGUCUCCGUAGGUGAACCUGCGGA
rnacentral:rRNA from 1 species